UACAGAGGGGGCAAGCGUUGUUCGGAAUUACUGGGCGUAAAGGGCGCGUAGGCGGCCCGCUAAGUCGAACGUGAAAUCCCCGAGCUCAACUCGGGAACUGCGUCCGAUACUGGUGGGCUUGAAUCCGGGAGAGGGAUGCGGAAUUCCAGGUGUAGCGGUGAAAUGCGUAGAUAUCUGGAGGAAUACCGGUGGCGAAGGCGGCAUCCUGGACCAUUACUGACGCUGAGGCGCGAAAGCUAGGGGAGCAAACGGG
rnacentral:rRNA from 1 species